CAAGGCUAGAAGCAAAUUGAAAGCGCCCAGGGUGCUCCCGCUUAUCUGCGGGGUGGGGGGUGGUCGGCAGACCAGUUCAGAGGUGAUGAGAGAGCGCGUCUGGGGAGUCCCAGCUGCGACUGUGGGUGCAGUGGCUGUGCGGUGGCCAUUCUCCAGCCAUAGGACUGUCCCCCUCGUCCACUGUGGAGUUGGUGCCCAUCUUCCCACAUGUCUGCCCAUCUGCUCUUCCACCUCCUAUUGGGAAAAGUUGGAUAGACAAAAGGAUUCCUAAUUGUAAGAUCUUCUUUAAUAAUUCCUUUGCUCUGGACUCCUCGUGGAUCUAUCCUGAGGAAUCAAGGUUGUUCCAUGGGCACGAAAAGCCCCAUUUGUUGGCAAAUCAAGUCGCACUGUCUCUGUCCAGACCAGCUCCUGCCUCCCGGCCUCUUCCCACCGUGGUGUUAGCACCUCAGCCAAUACCAGG